rnacentral:rRNA from 1 species
GCAGUAGCCGCGGUAAUACGUAGGUCCCGAGCGUUGUCCGGAUUUAUUGGGCGUAAAGCGAGCGCAGGCGGUUAGAUAAGUCUGAAGUUAAAGGCUGUGGCUUAACCAUAGUAUGCUUUGGAAACUGUUUAACUUGAGUGCAGAAGAGGAGAGUGGAAUUCCAUGUGUAGCGGUGAAAUGCGUAGAUAUAUGGAGGAACACCAGUGGCGAAGGCGACUCUCUGGUCUGUAACUGACGCUGAGGCGCGAAAGCGUGGGGAGCAAACAGGAUUAGAUACCCGCGUAGUCCUGUCUCUUAUACAC